UGGUAUGAGGGUGAUUUGGUAGUGAAAUCUGUUACUCCAUUGACCUGUCAGAGUCGAUUCAGGGGAUCAUGAUUAGAUUAGCAGGAUCUUCCUCCUUUCUCCUCUUUCUUCCCUAUGUGCAUCUCCAGCAGAGUAGGGUUGGCUGUCUUUGAGUUGAGUGGCUGUAAUUCCUCAUGGCAUUGCCAUCAGCACUGUAAGACUUGACCCACCACUUACAAAUGUUGUGAUACAAGCAUGUCUGUAGAGCUACUUCCUAAAAGGGAGAGAGGAGCCUCUUUUUCCCUU
rnacentral:sRNA from 1 species